GUGGGGAAUUUUGGACAAUGGGCGCAAGCCUGAUCCAGCAAUGCCGCGUGCAGGAAGAAGGCCUUCGGGUUGUAAACUGCUUUUGUACGGAACGAAAAGGCUCUGGUUAAUACCUGGGGCUCAUGACGGUACCGUAAGAAUAAGCACCGGCUAACUACGUGCCAGCAGCCGCGGUAAUACGUAGGGUGCAAGCGUUAAUCGGAAUUACUGGGCGUAAAGCGUGCGCAGGCGGUUUUGUAAGACAGACGUGAAAGCCCCGGGCUCAACCUGGGAAUGGCGUUUGUGACUGCAAAGCUGGAGUGCGGCAGAGGGGGAUGGAAUUCCGCGUGUAGCAGUGAAAUGCGUAGAUAUGCGGAGGAACACCGAUGGCGAAGGCAAUCCCCUGGGCCUGCACCGACGCUCAUGCACGAAAGCGUGGGGAGCAAACAGGAUUAGAUACCCUUGUAGUCC
rnacentral:rRNA from 1 species